rnacentral:lncRNA from 1 species
AAGCUAUGCGCCGUCACUGGAGAUUCAACCUUCUUUAAGCCAAUUUCUUCUCCAUCACCAGCCACCUCUACUCAUCAAAUCGAAGUGUCUUCCAUCACCGGAGAAGCCAUCGUUGUUGUGAUUCAUGUUAUUGGGAACAUGACUAAGACGAGAUGAGAAAGUGUAAUCUGAGCCGUCGAAUUCCAUCUCGACCAGCCACAUAUUGCACGGCCGUGAUCUGUGAGUCACCAGAGAUCCACGUCGCCACCGUCCAAGCUGUACCAAGCCACAGAAGAUCAUAUACACCAUUACCGGAGGAGCAGUCAUGCCUUUAGAAGUCAUCGUGGUGAUCUGUCUACGGUAUGUAAUGGAAACAAGAGGUGUAGACGUGGAGAAGAGACAGAGCCACCAUGUCAUCAUAUUUACGUUUCCGUUCUUCACCAUCAUCAAUGGCGAGCCACUGGACAUGCACUUCAUGUCAGAUUGUCUUUGAAUUUCCAACUGAUGUUGUCUUUGUUCACUUGACUUCUUUAGGUUCUCUAAUAAAUGUUUAUUUCCUUCUUCUAGUGUAUUGGAAGAAAAGCUCCACCAUCAGAAGUCCAAAUACCAG